rnacentral:miRNA from 1 species
UUAUAUAUAUAUAUAUAUAUAUGUGUGUGUGUAUAUAUAUAUAUAUAUAUAUAUAUACACACACACAUAUAUAUAUAUAUAUAUAUACACACACACAUAUAUAUAUAUAUAUAUAUAU